AACUGCAGUGAGAAGGGGUUUGUUUGUUUYCUUUUUAAAUGUUAUCCUUCCUUCCUCCUCCUCCUUUUUAAUGAAGAUGUAUUUAUACAAAAACUCACCCCGUGUUGAGCAUGGCACAUGGACAGGUUGGCCACUUUGGACUACUUUUGCAACAAUGGAUUCUGCUGGACUGAUAUUGAAACCAUGGGACAGACCUCAGGSAGCUGUUUGGCAGCACUUCCUCACUUAAGCUGACGAGUUAACUGCCUUUGCAAGAAGGGUGUUGGAGGAUUCUUCCAGGGGAUGCUUGAGAGCAGAAACCCACUACGAGGACUCCCUUCCUCUCUGUGCCAGCGUCUCAUCCCACAGCGUACAGGGAGAACGCAGAAGCUACCAGGGGUAUUUUCGGCAUUGCUCGUCUGACUUUGGAAUACAAGGAGUGUCGGCUCUGGUGUCUGCUGGCUUCAGCGAGGGCUGGUGGGCGUCCGGGCAGCCCGUUACUGUCUGGGUUCCAGACRGUCAUGAAGAUCCUGGGUAUGACCUGUGGAUGCUGUCACUGAAAAAGGGAAAACUUGGGGAAAUACCGUGCCCUGACCAGCCUCGUCAUCCCGAUGGGCGCUGGCGACCUGGGGAGCUUUUGAAGUCUGACRUCUUGGAAAGCUCAUCGCCAAAGCCUGAAACCGAAGGUGCAGCGGUCCCACUGGCAGACCG
rnacentral:lncRNA from 1 species